AGUGAACGCUGGCGGUAGGCCUAACACAUGCAAGUCGAACGGCAGCACAGUAAGAGCUUGCUCUUACGGGUGGCGAGUGGCGGACGGGUGAGGAAUACAUCGGAAUCUACUUUUUCGUGGGGGAUAACGUAGGGAAACUUACGCUAAUACCGCAUACGACCUACGGGUGAAAGCAGGGGAUCUUCGGACCUUGCGCGAUUGAAUGAGCCGAUGUCGGAUUAGCUAGUUGGCGGGGUAAAGGCCCACCAAGGCGACGAUCCGUAGCUGGUCUGAGAGGAUGAUCAGCCACACUGGAACUGAGAUACGGUCCAGACUCCUACGGGAGGCAGCAGUGGGGAAUAUCGGACAAUGGGCGCAAGCCUGAUCCAGCCAUACCGCGUGGGUGAAGAAGGCCUUCGGGUUGUAAAGCCCUUUUGUUGGGAAAGAAAAGCAGCAGGUUAAUACCCCGCUGUUCUGACGGUACCCAAAGAAUAAGCACCGGCUAACUUCGUG
rnacentral:rRNA from 1 species